rnacentral:tRNA from 1 species
GCCCGGAUGGUGAAAUUGGUAUACACGCAACACUUAAAAUGUUGUGAGCGUAAGCUCUUGCCGGUUCGAGUCCGGCUCCGGGCACCA